rnacentral:rRNA from 1 species
UAAAUUACCCAAUCCUAAAUCAGGGAGGUAGUGACAAGAUAUAACAACGCGAUUAAAUGUUGCGAUUGUAGUGAGGGUAUUCUAAAAAUAGCUUCGAGUACGAUUGGAGGGCAAGUCUGGUGCCAGCAGCCGCGGUAAUUCCAGCUCCAAUAGUGUAUAUUAAAGUUGUUGCAGUUAAAAAGCUCGUAGUUGGAUUUCAAGAAACGCAUCUGGGACUCCAGUAUGCUUUCUACCAGUCUUCGACUGUUACUGUGAGAAAAUUAGAGUGUUUCAAGCAGGCAAUUGCAGGAAUACAUUAGCAUGGAAUAACGAAUGUGUCUACAAUUUGGUUGAUUGUAGAUUACGAUUAAUAGGGACAGUUGGGGGCAUUAGUAUUUAAUUGUCAGAGGUGAAAUUCUUGGAUU